GUGAGCUGGGUCCUCCACAAACAGAGACAUGUCACAAGGACGAGUCGAAGCGGAAAAUGUAAAACUGUAGUCCCUAGCUGUUCUUUUUACUUGUAUAUAAAACUAUUUUAAGUCACAUGAACUAGCUGCUCGGGGAAACCUUCUGCUGUGGUCUGAGAAUCCCACUGACUGAUCUGAGAACAGCUGCAAGUGACGAUUUGAUUGACAGAGCUAGUAGCUAACGUUAGCUCAACAUUCCCUUACUGAUGUAGUAAACACACAAGCAUGGCAGAUUUGACCUGGGCUUUCGUCGCUUUGGGUGUCUCACUGGUGCCUGCUGCGUCUUCUGCAUCUUUAUAGAGGGAUGCAUCCAUGUAGAACACGUAGAAGUGUCCAUCACUCGUGGAGGGAGAAUCCAGUUCUGCCUGCUGAAUCUGGGAUGAAGACAGCAGGUGCUGUUGCCCCUCUCUGAGCCACAUUCACUCCCAGCUUCUCCCCCUCCAUCCGUUUCCUCUGCUUAUACACCCUCCUCCCCCUUGUCGAUGUGACGGGGGGGGGGCUACUGUAUAAUGAAGCACAUCCAGAGAAAAGAUACAGUUUGUUGAAGGUUUGAACCAGUGAUGUGUUAAUCACAUCCUCCUGAUUAGAAUGGCUGAUGAGCUGUGUGACACAGAGCAAAGGAGAACAUGAGGGUCUAAAGGAUUAAUGCAACUGCAUCCCUUGUCAGUCACCACUGUGCUUCUUACCACUGCUUGUGCUGCAUCAGUGCUGCAAGAGAAGCCUUGUUUUCACUCACAGUCCACCCUCCUCCUCCUCCUCCUCCUCCUCUUUUCCCCACAAACCCCUUCCUACCCUCUCUCUGUCUUCCUCUAGCUUUCCCUCAAAUAGACACACAGGCUCGGUUCAUUACUAUUCACCAGGUUUCACUAAGACACGCAUCAUUGCUCUGCUCUCUUCAACUGUGUUGAGAGAAGCGGGGGGAGAGAGUGAGUACAGAGGAGAGGUAGAAGAAGGUUAAAGCAAGAGACAUCUUAUGAUAGAAAAUAAUAAAUCACUAUUGUGUUUCCUGUGUGCAGAAAUGUGUACAAACAUUUUACCAGACAGCUGCAUGCAUGAGUUGUUCCCUCCUCACAUCUUCUGUAGAACAAGGCUAGUGCAGUCCUCAAUGUAGACAUCUGUUUUCCUCUGAGGGCUUUUGAAUUCAUCACUUGCCAUCAUUAAAU